rnacentral:rRNA from 1 species
GACGAACGCUGGCGGCGUGCUUAACACAUGCAAGUCGAACGGAAAGGCCUUUUCGGAGGUACUCGAGUGGCGAACGGGUGAGUAACACGUGGGUGAUCUGCCCUGCACUCUGGGAUAAGCCUGGGAAACUGGGUCUAAUACCGGAUAGGACCGCACUUUAGUGUGUGUGGUGGAAAGUUUUUUCGGUGUAGGAUGAGCCCGCGGCCUAUCAGCUUGUUGGUGGGGUAAUGGCCUACCAAGGCGGCGACGGGUAGCCGGACUGAGAGGUUGGUCGGCCACAUUGGGACUGAGAUACGGCCCAGACUCCUACGGGAGGCAGCAGUGGGGAAUAUUGCACAAUGGGCGCAGGCCUGAUGCAGCGACGCCGCGUGGGGGAUGACGGCCUUCAGGUUGUAAACUCCUUUCGCCAGGGACGAAGCGUUUUGUGACGGUACCUGGAGAAGAAGCACCGGCUAACUACGUG